rnacentral:rRNA from 1 species
ACGGAAGGCAGCAGUGAGGGAUAUUGCACAAUGGGCGCAAGCCUGAUGCAGCAACGCCGCGUGAGGGAUGACGGUUUUCGGAUUGUAAACCUCUGUCCUCAGUGACGAACAAAUGACGGUAGCUGAGGAGGAAGCCACGGCUAACUACGUGCCAGCAGCCGCGGUAAUACGUAGGUGGCAAGCGUUGUCCGGAAUUACUGGGUGUAAAGGGAGCGCAGGCGGGAUAGCAAGUCAGCGGUGAAAUGUAUGGGCUUAACCCAUGAACUGCCGUUGAGACUGUUGUUCUUGAGUGGAGUAGAGGCAAGCGGAAUUCCGAGUGUAGCGGUGAAAUGCGUAGAUAUUCGGAGGAACACCAGUGGCGAAGGCGGCUUGCUGGGCUCUAACUGACGCUGAGGCUCGAAAGUGUGGGGAGCAAACAGGAUUAGAUACCCUGGUA